ACUUGCGAGAACCUCGUCGGCAAGGAGGCCGCUCGGGGCAACGUCAGCUUGCCGGGAGUGCAAGAUAUUCCUCCCCGGCAGCACCUUCAUACGAUGUGGCUAAGAAUGUCGCGAUGCGCAAGAUAAGUACAGAGGCAAACCUCUUGCCAGACUCUUGGUAGACUAGUUGUAUCCUUUUGAAGUAUCGACUUUUAUAUGAAAAUCUGGCGUGCAUAUGGACCUUGCUAGGAUCAGUGCUCUCCGACUUCCUUUCGAUCCUGUUCAACAACUUGAGCGGCCAAAGAGCACCCUCAUCUCGUUUAGAACUCGUUCAACAUUUCAGACGGCUACGUAGCACCGUAUUUCGCCUUGAGCCGCGCUCGAUGAUUUACAUGGUUGUACUGAGUGCGGCAAGGAGUCUUGCCGGUGAUGACCUCCUCUGUUGAGUUUUCUGAGGAUCCACUCCUCUAAGUACCCGCGGCAGGAUAAGUCAAUCCGGCAAGCAUCCGGAAAGUGCAAGGGAAUAAUCAUACAAGAUGAGAGUCGAAUAAAGGCUGCAUCUAUUCAUUCAUUUGUCUGGAUACAUUUGAUUCCACUUACAAAGUGUUGUUGUCCUAACCUAAAGACUUCGUCUUUUAAACGAUGAUCGACCUACGCGAAGGAGUGAAGUUCAAGAUGGCAAAAAGGCGGAGCCCGCGGCCUGGCUAGGGCUCGCUCCCCACGACUAGCACUGUGCCGACGAGAACGGGAUCAGCCCCGGCAAGCACCACCUGGCCCUCCUCUGCUCGGAUUCGAGAGAACAUGACACAGGAAGGGGCGAAGGAUCCGGAGUCCGCAAGCGCGCCUCCUCCUGGGGCCAGGGGGCCAACACCCGCUCCGGUGAGGUGGCCCAAGCAGAGGGCAUGGAGAAGUCAGAGCUUGCGGAGGUGCCUCCCUUGCGAACACGAGGCACAGACGCCGGCUCCGGCAAGGUCCCCCUGCUAGGCAGGGGCAGGGCAUGAGCGGGCCCCGGCGGCAGGGCCAACAGUCUGUCGGAGCUCGGGGAGUCGUACUCCGACUUGACCCCCCGGAUCCUGGCCUGCCAAGAGCGCCACUGCCAUCGCUGUCCCCCUCGUCGCUAUCGCUCGAGGAGGGACACUCGGCGCCGCUCGAGCCCUCUUCACAGCAGCCGAGACGCACACCUAUGCGCCCGUAAAACUUGACGGGUAGCAUAUUAACCUCCGCUAGCUUAAAGCGGAGGAUAUGCCCUUCCUCGAGGCUAUGGGUGUGGGCGAAGGCUUUCUAGCCCCGCCCAAGCAGCAUGGAGAGGCGCUUAGGAUACUCCACGUGCGCCUGCAUGGCGCCAUGGGAGCAGCCGUGCGCCCGCAACCACAAGACCGAUGGCUUGGCGGCCUCCAUCGCCCUAGCGAAAGGGCGGGGAAGGUGCAGAUGACCCCGCAGAGCGUCGUGCAGCUCCACGACGAACUCCAGCGCCAUUCUGUUCGAGUGCCCUAAAAGCCCAAGGCAAGGCGGAGACACUGGAAUAGCACUCCGCCUCGCUCGACCACGUCCCCGACGUCCUCCACCCCUCGAGCCUCUCCCGCCACGGUCGACGGGGCUGCUGCUGGCUGCAGGCCCAGAAGCUGUGGCAUGAUCCAAGAGGGAUACCCUUGCCGCCCUAGCGGCCAACGGAGGUCGACCACGUUCCCUAACCAUGGUUAGGGACGGGUGCCACCGAGAGGCGCUGAAGGCUUCGAGAGUGAGAUGGAUGGAAAAAACCUCCACGCAAACACCCUAAUUUAUAGCGCAAAGCUCGAAGGCCACCCUCCUCGCUCCAGAAGCCGCCGCCCCUCUCGCCCAAUCGCCCUCAAGUCAUGAGCGGAAAAUGGAACCUCCCUGAUGCACCAAUGCAUGCAGGGGCGGGCCCAUCCACGCCCGCGGCUUUUGAGGCCAUGAUCACCACUUGCCCGAUCACCGCUGCGCAUACCCUACGCGUGGCAGAAGCAUUUCCAAGGAAUAAAGGGGCCAUCACGCACACGCCGCGCACCCUCCCACUUCAGGCGUUCAAUGUGCGACGUCGGGAAAGAAAGCCUACAAAGGCUUGAUUCUGAUAAGCCCGGGGCCUGCGAGUGCGUGCACUGCUUUGGGCCUGGCCCAACAACGCCUCGCAUGCGUGUGUGGCCCAGGCCCGGGGGCUCCGGUCGGUGCACUAAAGACCGGGGUCUCCAUUUACCCGGACUAGUGCGUGGACACUGGCAGCCCCCUCCACAGCGACAAGGCGCGUCUCUGGUGUAUAGGGCGGAAGAAAGCCUCGGAAGCCCACCAAGUGCAGACUGGAAGCCCCCCGGCAAGCGCCCGCUUGUUGGGAAUGAAGAAGAGACCCCGGCAGGAGCUCCCCCCCGGGAAGAUAGACACUGCCAAGGCAAGACCCUCCCGCCAAGGAAGAAGGACUGAGCCCCGGCAAGCCAUCCUUGCCGGGAAUAUUGACAAGGCCUCGGCAUGCCAUCACCUCCCUGCCGAGAGGAACAAGAAGAUCCCCCAGCAAAGUAACCCUGCCGGGGAGGAAAAGAAUGCCCGAAGAGAGUCGCGGGCCCAGGGCGCCUUCGCGUCCUAUGAACGCCUCCACCGACGAACACGCCACCGCCGAUGCAUGGACCACGCGUUCGUCCACACGCUAGCGCAACACCCCGAAGUUGCCACGUGUGGGUACGUGUCCAACCCCCCUCACGAGGUUAGGAAGUCUAUCAAAGCAUUUAAUGCACCGCAGUAACACUGUGGCGGGCGGUCGGCGUUGUUCCACUCGUGAACCCACGUUCACCCGUUGAGCCACUGUGGUGACCCCUUCGCCUAUAAAAGGAGGCCUGAGGCUCAAUAGAAAGGACUGUUGGCUUUUUGACCAAUCGAAGGCUGUAAGAGGGACAGAUCUACAGUAAACUUAAACAAAUAACUAAACACAUGCAGGAGUAGGGUUUUACGCACAACGCGGCCCGAACCUGGGUAAAAUUGACCUUGCCAGGCCCUGACUAUUGGUUCUGCUCUUGCCGCGACCCCUCUCCCCGCCAAACUAGCAAAAGGAGACCGUUGAGGCCCCCAUAGGUGUCGAUCCUUUCACCGACAACGGGUGAUCCAUCCGAUCGCGCGCGAGGUCCGGGACGUCGCUCGGUGGAGGCGGCGUGACGGCGUCUGAGAUGAAGCCGGNGUCCCAACGCAGCCGGUGCGUGACCGUAUGAAGGCGGGUGGUGAUGAAAUGGUCCCAGUCGGAGAACGACGACAACAACCGGCACAAGACGAGGGCGAGCAGACACGUAGUUGACGGCCGUUAGGGGCCGCAGCAUCGCAAGGGGCGCCUCGUCGGUUAGGAGGCCGGGCCACGCCGAUGUCUGAGUAGAGGCACGAGAUUGAUGGAGGCGGCGAGCGACGCAAACCGAUCUUAGAUCAGAAAACCAAAAAGAAAAAAUAUCGAUCAAAGCGACCAACAGAAGAGAGAAAACGCGGAUCAAGAAAUUGCGAAAAAGACUCUCUAGGGCAGCCAGAUAACACGACCGGCGGAUGAACCCUAGGUACGGCCGGCGCGGCUUCAGUGGCAGUCAUGGGGACCGAUAGCCCGAGGGCAACGCAUGGGGCGAAAGCGACAGACAGUGGCUAGGUCUCGGAACUUGGUGCAGAUAUCAUGUUAAAAGUGUAGAGACUUAGAUUUGGGCUAUGCAACUCUCAAUAUUGAUCGGAUGCACUAGACACGUAUAUAUAAGGUAUAAAAUAGGCCUCAACCUCAACUAUACAAGAAACUAGGAGGUGGGUCUAUGACACAAUAUACACAGUGGCGAAGCCACAUAAAAGCUGUGUGAUCACUUGACCACACAACAUUUUAGUGAAACUCUUAACUACAAGGAAAAAUUAUUGAGAAGAUAGUACAAAAAACUGUAAAUACACAUCUAAUUGACAUUACAACUUAAAGUGUACGUCACAUACUUGAAUUUUUUUCACCGCCACUGAACAUACAUGCACAAAUAUAUACUCAACCCCCUGGCAGUCAAAGCACGCCGAGAGACCCAAAGAAUGAAACGAAGCUCCUCGAAGAUGAAAAUUGACAGUCCCUUAGUUAUCACAUCGACGAACUGCGGUCGGAACAUGAAAAAUCGGAUGUGACUAAGGGCGUCAUGUUCAAGCACAAAGUGGAUAUCAAGCUCCAUGUGCUUCCUGGAUAUAGACGGAUUUAUGAAAUACGUAGUUGUUAUAUUGAUUGAGCUUCCUAGACAUUAUAUAUAGAAGUACAAUGAUCAAUUUAAGUAUAAGUUAAAAUAAGACAAAUAAUAAUUUAUCUUAUAUUUCGUAAUAAUCAAUAUAGAGUGGGUGUCAGGGGAAGCCUUACAAUAGCGGCUUCGCAGCUGGUCAGCUGACAAUGAUGAGUACAGGGCACAAGGAUGGUGAUAGCGACGGGCGAAGUGCACCAGCGCGCGCUCUGGGCGCGGCCGAACCUUGUGGCUGGUGCUGGAUCGGCAGAGGGAGAAUGACUGGCUGGUGCGUAUGCGUGCAUGGGAACAAAUGGAUAUUCUUAUCCGGAAGCCACCAAUGGGAGGCCGUAUCUUAUCCGCGCCUCGCAUAGAUAACACUUGCCUGCCCUGACAACUCGCCUCUCAACCACGAGUGAGAUCGAUCUUCCCGCGUACCAAGCCCACCGACCAACAUGGCAGCGUCUCUCCAAGCCGCGGCCACGCUGAUGCCGGCCAAGAUCGGCGGCCGGGCCUCCUCCGUGCGGCCGUCGUCGCACGUCGCCCGGGCGUUCGGCGUCGACGCUGCCGCCAGGAUCACGUGCUCCCUGCAAUCCGACAUCAGGGAGGUCGCAAGCAAGUGCGCCGACGCCGCCAAGAUGGCCGGCUUCGCCCUCGCAACCUCUGCCCUCCUCGUCUCUGUAAGCUGACUAAUCUAUUCUAUUGCCGUGCAUGGCCGUUUAUUCUAGUCCAGCUAGCUAGAGUGACUCGCGUGGGUGCAGGGCGCAAGUGCGGAGGGGGCGCCCAAGAGGCUGACCUUCGACGAAAUCCAGAGCAAGACCUACAUGGAGGUGAAGGGUACCGGCACCGCGAACCAGUGCCCGACCAUCGACGGCGGCGUCGACUCCUUCCCCUUCAAGGCCGGCAAGUACGAGAUGAAGAAGUUCUGCCUGGAGCCCACCUCCUUCACCGUCAAGGCCGAGGGCAUCCAGAAGAACGAGCCACCGGCCUUCCAGAAGACCAAGCUCAUGACCCGUCUCACUUACACCCUUGACGAGAUGGAAGGCCCGCUCGAGGUCGGCGCCGACGGCACCCUCAAGUUCGAGGAGAAGGACGGCAUCGACUACGCGGCCGUCACAGUGCAGCUCCCCGGAGGCGAGCGCGUGCCGUUCCUCUUCACCGUCAAGCAGCUCGUCGCCACCGGCAAGCCGGAGAGCUUCAGCGGGCCCUUCCUCGUGCCCAGCUACAGGGGUUCCUCUUUCCUCGACCCAAAGGGCCGUGGUGGCUCUACUGGCUACGACAACGCGGUGGCGCUGCCCGCCGGAGGCAGAGGAGACGAGGAGGAGCUGGCCAAGGAGAACGUGAAGAACGCGUCCUCCUCCACGGGCAACAUCACCCUCAGCGUGACCAAGAGCAAGCCGGAGACCGGCGAGGUGAUAGGCGUCUUCGAGAGCGUGCAGCCGUCAGACACCGACCUCGGCGCCAAGGCGCCCAAGGAUGUCAAGAUCCAGGGUGUGUGGUACGCGCAGCUCGAGUCUAACUAGAGCAUAGCAGAAGUGAAGAUACUCAUCUUUUGUGCAUGCAUACGUGGGUUGGUCGGUGGAGAGGAAAGAAUCGAGGCAAC
rnacentral:lncRNA from 1 species